UCUGGCUUAGUUCUCAAGGAAUUGUUUUCCGGUCACCUCUAACAAACGUUGUCAACAUUAACUAUGACAAUGGUUUCGAAAAGAGAUGUCGAGAUGCUUUCCAGAUUUGCCUCUCGAGUUGCUAAAAACUGGGGGCCAUCAGCAGCAAUUUACGCUGGUGCUGCAGCUCUUGUGGGCCUGUACGUCACAGAAUGGAAAGUUAUUGUUACCAAAAUACCAUUUUAUGGGGCCAAAUUCAAUGAACCAGAGAGGCCGCUGUAAUCAAAGAGUUUUUAGCCCUUUUCAAGUUUAAUCGCUGAAUGAUAUUGAGCAGCGGUGUAGAAAAAGAUGGUUUGCAUCAAUUUGCUGAUGGUCGACAGUUUUCUGAUGUCAAGUCACAAAUUCUUUGCUCGAUAUGCACAUACAUUACACAUGUUUAUAGAAUAAAACAAAUGUAACAAUCUUUA